UUAAUGUCUUUUUAAAAAAGCUUGAGGAUAAUUAGUCAUUUAGAAAAUUUCUAUACGUGCCUUUUUCCCCUUCCACAAAUACUACGUGUAGCCUUUUGGUUUCUGUCUCAGCCACCACAUCUUUUUUCCAUCUUCAGUCCCAAUAUCUUCUCCAUCGUAUUAUCGUAUUUUCCAUGGAUUUCAGAGCAUUGUUAUUUGCUCCAUCAAGAUAAUCUCUUCUGUUUCUUUUCCUUCAAUUGUUGUUGGGUUUGGAUUGUUUCCUCCAGGAUCCAGCUAAAUUAAUUUAAUUUAGCAGUUUAAACUCGAUUUAUUUUUGCAAUUUGUAUAAUCCAGGCCCUUAAAAUUUCUCUAUUCCAAUUUUGCUCUGCAAUUUUUGUUGCAAUGUUUGGGGUAUUUCAAAUUUGCAUGUGCUUGUUAAUCGAUCUCUGUCCUUCAGAUUUUGACUGUAAACUUCAUGUAUGCCGGGAGAUGAAGAUGAGAAGUAAUACUUGGAACAAAAAAAAAAGGUAAAAAUUGCUACUCCUUAUAGAUAGCUAUUUUGCAUAUGAAUUAUUUCCAGUAAUAUUUGAUUGAAUAGUUUAGUUACAUGAAAAUUUUAGUUUUAUCGUGCUGCUUCUUGAAUUUAUUGUUAAAAGAGAAAAAACAGAAGUUUGCCAGCACAACUGAAGUCUGAGUAGUAUUUGCAGUUUGUUAAAGUAUCUGUUAUUUUUAUUUUACUAUCUUAAAAAUAUACGCGCUCUAGGGACACCAAUAACUAUAUAGAUUCAAAAUUGAUGCAAAAAGGGGAAGUUCUCUACCUAAGUAUAUCAAGUGUAAUUAUAUUUUAGGGUUAUGACUUUUAUCCCAAUUGAAUGUACCUAUUGUAUCCUAAUGUGUAUCUGUUUACCUUAUUGUUCAACCUACCUGGGCUAAUAUUUGUUGAAUUUACAACGGAAAUAUAGUAAGUGACAAUUUUGUUAAUGUCUGAAAGUGAAGUUUUUGUAGCGACAAUGCUUGGUGAACAUGUUGAUGAGAUUUGAAUUGUUGGGAGUAUCUUCCAUAACUAUGUACCAGCAUAAAUUUCAACAGUUUCUACCCUUCACCAGCCCUACAAUAUUGAUAAAUGAUCAUUGAAGGAACAAAGAAAAUGAUUCAAAAAGAUCUUUAUGUCUUAGGAAGGACAUUGUUCUGUACUUCGUUAGUCUAUUGUCAUAUGCUUAUUCAUAACGCUAAAUAGUUAUGCUUUAUAAUUCGUGUUAUUGUGUUAAUAUGUCUCUACUUUAGUAAUAAAUUUAUAUGCUUACAAAUAAAAGAAAGAUGGACAACGCCUAAAUUGAGCAGAUUAGGAACGUUCAUAUCUUGGUGAAAAGAAUAGUGAGAAAUACCAAAGACAGCGUAUAUCACAUGGAGAGAAAUGGUACAUAAUUCAUUUUCCAUAAGACUCUUAAACGUCGUGAGAUUUGACGCUGCAGAAUAAUAUUCAUUAACUUCUAGCACAAGCAAAUAUUUUUAUCUCAGCUAUCAUGGUUCCUUACUUCGACAGGGUACAAAUAUUUAAAUUUGAUAUUUUUAGAUACUUUCUACUGGUGCAACACCAAGUGCAGUUCCUGUACAGAAGACUUCAUUUGCACUAAUUACAUGUAAGACUAUAAAGCAAGUCAAAUAAAUUCAAACACAAAUUAUAACUCAAUGUAUUUUCUAUACCCAAUAAUUAUCCAUCAUAUUUUGUUAAAAUAUAUGGAAUUAAGACAAUAGUUUAGGUGAAUAGACGGUAAAGUAUGCUACAAUCAAGAAUUUAAAGAGAAUUUUCAAAAAAUAUUUCUUUUAAUAAUUGUGAUGUGCGGAUGUGUUACUUUCUACUUUUUUCAUUCUGAUAAUUUGUAUUACAGCAUAAAGAAAUUAGACAAUUUAUGUACUUGAUGGGAUUGGAAAACUCAAUAGAAGUAGCUUCUUACUUUCUUUCAUGUGCACUUCUAUUCUAUUUUUUAUAUAUAUAGUUUCAAGAUCGUGCUUAUGCAAAGCCAUGAAAACUAUACAUUAAACAUUCAAUUUUUUAUUUGAACAUUACAUAUAUGAAUAGGGAUUAAGGCGUGUUUUAUACCAGCAUCACUAUUCGCUAUUACAAGUAAUUCAUUUAUCAAUAUUGAAUUUCAAUUGCAACAUUUCUGACAAAGGUACAAAAUGGUAUCAGAUGAUCAAACUAAGAUUGCAACAUCAAAAUAAAAAAAAAUAAAAAAGGUAAAAAACAUUGCAUAAAAUUUCAGCAUUUCUUAUAGACUUGGCAUCCUGCUCCUACUUAAGUACGUCUGGUAGUGCAACAGACUUGAAUUACAUGCAAGCAUGGGCCUGAAUCCAGUGGCCUUAGUGUAUUGGUCGAAAUCUGACCGUCUCGGCUGAGCUGACCAAUGUCCCGCCCAAGUGACAGGGCAGUAAAAGACGACAUGGCCCACUUUACACCUCAUUCUCGACACCCGUCGAGUCAGAAGGAGCAAUGUCCAAAGGACGACCAAGGCACACUUGGUGCGAGAGAGCGUUGGACCAAGUAAACGGCAAGGGUGCCUAGACUAUAUAUAGUAGGGAAAAACCCUCGAUAGGAGAGGCUCUCUUUCCCAUUCUCUCCCCUAAGUUCUCUUCUUGUAAUCUUCAUAGGAAAGAAGUAAUCUACAGAAAAAACAUGUAAAACUACCUCUUCCAUUGAUUGAUGGGAGCCACAAUGAAAAAUUUCAAUAAGAUCGAUUACAUCUACUUCAUCUUAUAUAC